rnacentral:rRNA from 1 species
UGGGGAAUUUUGGACAAUGGGCGAAAGCCUGAUCCAGCAAUGCCGCGUGUGUGAAGAAGGCCUUCGGGUUGUAAAGCACUUUUGUCCGGAAAGAAAUGGCUCUGGUUAAUACCUGAGGUCGAUGACGGUACCGGAAGAAUAAGGACCGGCUAACUACGUGCCAGCAGCCGCGGUAAUACGUAGGGUCCAAGCGUUAAUCGGAAUUACUGGGCGUAAAGCGUGCGCAGGCGGUUGUGCAAGACCGAUGUGAAAUCCCCGAGCUUAACUUGGGAAUUGCAUUGGUGACUGCACGGCUAGAGUGUGUCAGAGGGGGGUAGAAUUCCACGUGUAGCAGUGAAAUGCGUAGAGAUGUGGAGAAAUACCGAUGGCGAAGGCAGCCCCCAUGGGAUAACACUGACGCUCAUGCACGAAAGCGUGGGGAGCAAACAGGAUUAGAUACCCUGGUAGUCCAUGCCCUAAACGAUGUCAACUAGUUGUUGGGG